ensembl:piRNA 21ur-14690 ncRNA
UGUUAUUGUGUUCUUUAUCCA